rnacentral:rRNA from 1 species
AGCGAACGCUGGCGGCAGGCUUAACACAUGCAAGUCGAGCGGGCACUUCGGUGUCAGCGGCAGACGGGUGAGUAACACGUGGGAACGUACCCUUCGGUUCGGAAUAACGCUGGGAAACUAGCGCUAAUACCGGAUACGCCCUUUUGGGGAAAGGUUUACUGCCGAAGGAUCGGCCCGCGUUUGAUUAGCUAGUUGGUGGGGUAAUGGCCUACCAAGGCGACGAUCAGUAGCUGGUCUGAGAGGAUGAUCAGCCACACUGGGACUGAGACACGGCCCAGACUCCUACGGGAGGCAGCAGUGGGGAAUAUUGGACAAUGGGCGCAAGCCUGAUCCAGCCAUGCCGCGUGAGUGAUGAAGGCCUUAGGGUUGUAAAGCUCUUUUGUCCGGGACGAUAAUGACGGUACCGGAAGAAUAAGCCCCGGCUAACUUCGUG